rnacentral:rRNA from 1 species
GACGAACGCUGGCGGCGUGCUUAACACAUGCAAGUCGAACGGAAAGGCCCUGCUUUUGUGGGGUGCUCGGGUUGCGAACGGGUGAGUAACACGUGAGUAACCUGCCCUUGACUUUGGGAUAACUUCAGGAAACUUGGUCUAAUACCGGAUAGGAGCUCCUGCUGCAUGGUGGGGGUUGGAAAGUUUCGGCGGUUGGUGAUGGACUCGCGGCUUAUCAGCUUGUUGGUGGGGUAGUGGCUUACCAAGGCUUUGAGCGGUAGCCGGCCUGAGAGGGUGACCGGCCACAUUGGGACUGAGAUACGGCCCAGCCUCCUACGGGAGGCAGCAGUGGGGAAUAGUGCACUAUGGGCGGAAGCCUGAUGCAGCAAAGCCGCGUGCGGGAUGACGGCCUUCGGGUUGUAAUCCGCUUUCGCCUGUGACGAAGCGUGAGUGACGGUAAUGGGUAAAGAAGCACCGGCUAACUACGUG